AUCCCGAGUAUAGCACCUACUAAUUGCUGGUUUGUUGACAAGCAAGCAAAGAAUGGGUAAUUGAGGACUACAUAAAGUAGGACCAUAGCAACAUUUUUAAACGCUGUGAUAGAAAAAAUAUAUAAAAAGGGUGAAUUGAAAGCAGCUGCAUAUGACUGGACAUUGCCAGAAAUGGCACUCACAGCAAGAUUUAUGCAGGAUCCAGAAACUGCCCCAAACACCAUUGCAAACAUAAGUCUGUUCUUGUGGUGAUCUUGUAGGAAAUUCAUUGGACUUAAAGAGAAAAAAAAAAUAGAGUGUUGUUGACAGAGGUGCAUUUAGUAGAAGGAAGGACAUUGAAUAUGGUUGACAAAAA